GACGACGCUGGCGGCGUGCCUAACACAUGCAAGUCGAGCGAGGAGAGUUCCUUCGGGAACAAACCUAGCGCGGACGGGUGAGUAACACGUGGGCAACCUGCCUUGUAAAGGGAAUAGCCUUCCGAAAAGGAAGAUUAAUACCGCAUAACAUUACAGUUUCGCAUGAAACAGUAAUUAAAGGAGUAAUCCGCUACAAGAUGGGCCCGCGGCGCAUUAGCUAGUUGGUGAGGUAACGGCUCACCAAGGCGACGAUGCGUAGCCGACCUGAGAGGGUGAUCGGCCACAUUGGGACUGAGACACGGCCCAGACUCCUACGGGAGGCAGCAGCGGGGAAUAUUGCACAAUGGGGGAAACCCUGAUGCAGCAACGCCGCGUGAGUGAUGAAGGUUUUCGGAUCGUAAAGCUCAGUCUUCGGGGACGAUAAUGACGGUACCCGAGGAGGAAGCCACGGCUAACUACGUG
rnacentral:rRNA from 1 species